GCCCCGAUAGCUCAGUUGGUAGAGCGUCGCACUGGUAUCGCGAAGGUCUCCGGUUCGAUUCCUGAUCUGGGCA